AUACGGAGGAUGCGAGCGUUAUCCGGAUUUAUUGGGUUUAAAGGGUGCGUAGGCUGUGCGUUAAGUCAGGGGUGAAAUGCCGUCGCUCAACGACGGAGCUGCCCUUGAUACUGGCGUGCUGGAGUACGGAUGCCGUUGGAGGAAUGAGUGGUGUAGCGGUGAAAUGCUUAGAUAUCACUCAGAACACCGAUUGCGAAGGCAUCUGACGAGUCCGUCACUGACGCUGAGGCACGAAAGCGUGGGGACAGAACAGGAUUAGAUACCCUGGUAUUCCACGCCGUAAACGAUGAUGACUAACCGUCGGCGAUAGACAGCCGGUGGCCAAGCGAAAGCGAUAAGUCAUCCACCUGGGGAGUACGUCGGCAACGAUGAAACUCAAAUGAAUUGACGGGG
rnacentral:rRNA from 1 species